rnacentral:rRNA from 1 species
CAAGUCGAACGCGAAAGGGUAGCAAUACCCGAGUAGAGUGGCGAACGGGUGAGUAAUGUGUGGGUAAUUUGCCUUUCAGAGGGGGAUAACCCGGCGAAAGCUGAGCUAAUACCCCAUGAUGUUACAGUGUCUUCGGACGUUGUAAUCAAAUGAUGGCCUCUAUUUAUAAGCUAUCGCUGAAAGAUAAGCUCACAUCCUAUCACGCUUGUUGGUGGGGUAAUGGCCCACCAAGGCGACGACGGGUAGCCGGCCUGAGAGGGUGUCCGGCCACACUGGAACUGAGACACGGUCCAGACUCCUACGGGAGGCAGCAGUGGGGAAUUUUUCGCAAUGGGCGAAAGCCUGACGAAGCAACGCCGCGUGGAGGAUGAAGGCCCUCGUGGUCGUAAACUCCUGUCUAGCGGGACGAAAGUAUUUGGGUUGAAUAAACCCAAGUAUUGACUGUACUGCUGGAGGAAGCUCCGGCCAACUCCGUGCCAGCAGCCGCGGUAAUACGGAGGGAGCAAGCGUUACUCGGAAUUAUUGGGCGUAAAGGGCGCGUAGGCGAUCUGGCAAGUCCUGUGUGAAAGCCCAGAGCUUAACUCUGGAAGUGCACAGGAGACUGUCUGGAUUUGAGUUCAGGAGAGGAAAGCAGAAUUCCCGGUGUAGCGGUGAAAUGCGUAGAGAUCGGGAGGAAUACCAGUGGCGAAGGCGGCUUUCUGGACUGACACUGACGCUGAGGCGCGAAAGCCAGGGGAGCAAACGGGAUUAGAUACCCCGGUAGUCCUGGCUGUAAACGAUGUGCACUUGGUGUGAGCCGGUUUUCGGUUCGUGCC